AAGAUCAGGCAGAGGCCUCCUGUCCUCUGGGCAGCCCAGCAAAAGCUCUGCUCCCCAGGGCCAGUCAAAUGGGAGGGUGGUGAUGGAGAGAAUAGUCUCUGAAUUAGAGACCCAAAUUUGAAUUCUUCCCCAUGUGUUGCAGCAACAGACACCACUGCUCCCGUGUUUUACCACUUCAGUCCCCCUGUGACUACAGCACCCCACCCUGAGCAGGUGCCCCCGUCACUGUGCUGCUGAAGAGGGCUGCUCACACCAUGAAACAAAACUUUCCAAGGGCAGGAUUCCCCGGGGGAAUUUGGAUAUCAACCCUGGUUUCAACAUGCACAUUCCAGCUGUGGGUUCACCCCGGUCUCCCCAGGCCUCCAUGAGCCCCUAGCUAAGGGAUUAAACCUUGCCUGGGGACCAUGUAAGGUUGAAUUCACCUUCAAAAAAUUUUCAAACAAAAAUUUUGCAGUUAGAUUUCCAGGUAAGGGGAUUCUCAGUGCCAUUCUGGAGGCUGAAAGGUAGGGGAAUGAGUUAACUGGGCAAGGCCUCCUUUCCCACAGUGGAGCCCAGGCUGAGAAACAUUUUUUCUCAUUUUGGAGUCAGACGUUUUUGUGCUGGUGGGUGGAGUAGAGUGGGGGAGUGUCAAACUUUUCACAUAAAGGGAUGGAUAGUAAUUCUUUUAGGCUUCCUGGACCAGAUGGUCUCUGUCACAAUAGCAGAACUCUGCAGUCGGAGCAGGAAAGCAACCAUAGACCAUACGUGAGCCAAUGGGCAUGGCUGUGUGCCAAUAAAACUUUAUUUACAAAAACAGACUGUGGGCCGGAUUUGGAUGAUGAGAGACCAAACUACAGAGGCCUAUAGUUUGUUGAUCUUAGAUUUAGACUGUGACUUAUAUAGUCCUGUGCUGCAUAAUGAUGUUUUGGUCAACAAUGGACUGCAUAUAGGACAGUUGUCUCAUAAGAUUAAACAUUGCACUUUUUUUUUCUUUUUGAGAGGGAGUUUCACUCUUGUUGCCCAGGCUGGAGUGCAAUGUAUAAUCUCAGCUCACUGCAACCUCUGCCUCCUGGGUUCAAGUGAUU
rnacentral:lncRNA from 10 species